GAACAGAAACAGGCUUGCAGUGUGGGAGGAGGAAACUGACAAAGUGCUUGUCUAAAAGAAAACACACCACGGGACACUACAGAUCACCCGCCCUAUAAAUCCUUCUUCAGCAUAACAGGACCCGAAAGAUCCAGAAAUUCGUCAAGAAACCCCGGAAAUAAAAAGGGUCCUGGAGGUGGUUGGCCUACUAGGUGAUCAAGGGCGAGAGAAUAUGAUGACCGGGUUCAGCUUUCAUGACUCCUAAAACGGAGCAGGCAUCUCCAUCUCAAUGGGAGAUUACGGCUUACUGGAUUCUGUCCUUCUCCUCACAUCUGUAUUCCUUCUGCCAGCUGCACAGGUUCUCCAAAGCUGAGCUGCAGAAAAGGGGGGGUUGAAAAGAUGAAAUAUUCAUCUUAGUAACUCACAGGCUGUAUAUCAACUUCAACCUGCCCAGAUCUUUAACCACUAGACAAUCACCACUCCACCAUUACGUCAGGUGUACGUAAAAUCAGUUUCUAAAUUGGUAUCAGAUACUUGUUGACUUGGAUUAAUUUAUCCAGAAUAAAUAUACUAUGCAGGUAAUUUUAAAUGCUCACAUUGACUUUAUUUCAUAACAUAUCAGUUUGAGAAGGGCCGCUCUCUUGUGUGAGGAAAAUAGCCCAUUCCUAUCGUGUUAACUGCUGACUCUAAGUGGUUUGAAAAGGUUGUGCUGUCAUUUUGAGGGGUGACAAGAUCUCAGGUCAGCAAAAGGCAACACACAGCACCCAUUUUAUCUCUUUCAACCAAAACAUGCCACUCAAAAUAAGUGCAAUAAUAAACCUUCAAACUAGGCCCAUCUCCUUGUGCUUAGAGAAUAAAACACUCCAUAAACCAGAAUGGUGGGUGAAAUCAACGAUACAUGUAAAGAUAACUUAAGUCUUUUAACCACUGCAAAAUCUCUGGUCAAAUUAAACAACACUUUAAAGGAUGGUCACCUAGCUGACUCAGUCCAGAUUCAUAUACACUCAGUUAGCACUUUAUUUGGAAUACCUGUACACCUACUUAUUCAUGUGAUUAUCUAAUUAGCCAAUUGUGUGGCAGCAGUGCAAUGCAUACACUCAUGCAGAUACGGGUCAGGAGCUUCAGUUAAUGUUCGCAUCAACCAUCAGAAUGGGGGGAAAAAUGUGAUCUCGGUGAUUUCGAUCGUGGCAUGAAUGUUAGGGCCAGACGGGCUGGUUUGAGUAUUUCUGUAACUGCUGAUCUCCUGGGAUUUUCAUACACAACAGUGUCUAGAGUUUACUCAGAAUGGUGCCAAAAACAAAAAACAACCAGUGAGUGGCAGUUCUGCAGACGGAAACACCUUGUUGGUGAGAGAAUCUUCAGAGAAUGGCCAGACUGGUUUGAGCUGACAGAAAGGCUACGGUAACUCAGAUAACCGCUCUGUACAAUUGUAGUGAGCAGAAUAGCAUCUCAGAAUGCACAACAGGUCAAACCUUGAGGCAGAUGGGCUACAACAGCAGAAGACCAAGUCGGGCGCUUUAUUACAACCAUAGUGCUCCUAAAAAAAGUGCUCAGUGAGUGUAAAAUAAAUUAGGCUAUAUAGACAGGUAAAACAGUGAGCUGAUUUCAAAGUGGUUUUCAAUGUUAUUACUUCCAAGUUCUCUUGCCACUUGUAUUUGCACAGUGAAUUUAGGUCUGACACCACAUAAAGCUUUGAUUGAAAUUAAAAAUAAAACUUAACUGAAAACGUGUGACCUUAAGUAAUACAAUCAUUCACCUUUCAGUGUUUGUGUCUGUGAACAACUAUCAUCCUUCAUUAAUCCAGCCCAAAUCCAACCCUAUGCCAAGAAAAAGUAUUAAAUGGACAUCAUUCUAACAUGUUUAAUUUUUUUUAUUAUUAUUAUUAUUUUCCCUAUAUUUAUUGACCCUCAACAUUGCAAUAUUACAGUUUGGGAUCUUUCUAAAAACAAGCCCUUCUAAAAUAUUGUUAGUAUUUGUGUCUAAACACAGUGUGACCACUAGAUGGCACUGUGGUCUCACUUCUGUUUCCAAAUACACUUUCUUUUCUCAACUCUCUCUUUUUGUGUGUGUGUGUGUGUGUGUGUGCGCGCGUUUAUGAAAGUGCGGUUAGAUCCCUGCCUGGCAGUGCACCCUGCAGGAAAACCUUCUGUCGAGGUGAUGAGAGGUCCAUCCUGAGAAACUGAAAGAAAAAAGACAUGUAGUUAGGAGGACAGGGACAGAGACAAAGGGGCGGGGCAGUGAAAACAACACCAAACUGGCACUGCAUUGCAGGGGAGGAAGACCGUUUAUAUGUGUGUAUUUGCAGAGAAUAUGCGAUAUUGUUAGAUAUUAUGCUUGAUCAGAAAGGCCCUCUUCCAACUACAAGACCAACAUUCAAGAACAUUUCAUCCAUUUUGAAACUCGAGCCUUGAAGUUC